rnacentral:rRNA from 1 species
UACGUAGGGGGCAAGCGUUACUCGGAAUUACUGGGCGUAAAGGGUGUGUAGGCGGCCGAGCAAGUCGAAGAUGAAAUCCCAGGGCUCAACCCUGGAAUUGUCUUCGAUACUGCUUGGCUUGAGGGUAGUGGAGGAGAGCGGAAUUCCCGGUGGAGCGGUGAAAUGCGUAGAUAUCGGGAGGAACACCAGAGGCGAAGGCGGCUCUCUAUGCUACUCCUGACGCUGAGGCACGAAAGCUAGGGGAGCAAACGGG